GAUGAACGCUGACAGAAUGCUUAACACAUGCAAGUCAACUUGAACUUCGGUUUGGGUGGCGGACGGGUGAGUCACGCGUAAAGAACUUGCCUCACAGUUAGGGACAACAUUUGGAAACGAAUGCUAAUACCUGAUAUUAUGAUUUUAGGGCAUCCUAGAAUUAUGAAAGCUAUAUGCGCUGUGAGAGAGCUUUGCGUCCCAUUAGCUAGUUGGAGAGGUAACGGCUCACCAAGGCGAUGAUGGGUAGCCGGCCUGAGAGGGUGAACGGCCACAAGGGGACUGAGACACGCCCCUUACUCCUACGGGAGGCAGCAGUGGGGAAUAUUGGACAAUGGACCAAGAGUCUGAUCCAGCAAUUCUGUGUGCACGAUGAAGUUUUUCGGAAUGUAAAGUGCUUUCAGUUGGGAAGAAAAAAAUGACGAUACCAACAGAAGAAGUGACGGCUAAAUACGUG
rnacentral:rRNA from 1 species